CCGGUUAACCCACUCAGAGGGGGAGUAACACUUGGAAACAGGUGCUAAUACCGCAUAACAGUUUAUGCCGCAUGGCAUAAGAGUGAAAGGCGCUUCGGGUGUCGCUGAUGGAUGGACCCGCGGUGCAUUAGCUAGUUGGUGAGGUAACGGCUCACCAAGGCCACGAUGCAUAGCCGACCUGAGAGGGUGAUCGGCCACACUGGGACUGAGACACGGCCCAG
rnacentral:rRNA from 1 species